rnacentral:tRNA from 2 species
GCCGGCUUAGCUCAGUUGGUAGAGCACCCGCCUUGUAAGCGGAAGGUCGUCAGUUCGACUCUGACAGCCGGCA